rnacentral:rRNA from 1 species
GCCUAACACAUGCAAGUCGAACGGUGGCAGCCAUGUCAUAGUGGCGCACGGGUGCGUAACACGUAGCUAACCUACCCAGAACUGGGGGAUAGCCCGCCGAAAGGCGGAUUAACACCGCAUAACAUCUACUGGUGGCAUCACUAGUUGAUUAAAUCUACGGAGGUUCUGGAUGGGGCUGCGGGUCAUUAGCUAGUUGGUAAGGUAACGGCUUACCAAGGCGACGAUGACUAGGGGAGCUGAGAGGCUGGUCCCCCACACGGGCACUGAGAUACGGGCCCGACUCCUACGGGAGGCAGCAGUAGGGAAUAUUGGGCAAUGGGCGAGAGCCUGACCCAGCCAUGCCGCGUGCAGGAAGAAGGCUUUCUGAGUCGUAAACUGCUUUUGAUAGGGAAGAAUAAGCACUACGUGUAGUGUGAUGACGGUACCUACAGAAUAAGCACCGGCUAACUCCGUGCCAGCAGCCGCGGUAAU